UACGGUAGGGACCGAGCGUUGUCCGGAAUCAUUGGGCGUAAAGAGCGUGUAGGCGGCCAAUUAAGUCCUGCGUGAAAUCUCGGGGCUCAACCCCGAGCGGUCGUGGGAAACUGGUUGGCUAGAGUGCGGGAGAGGGGAGUGGAAUUCCUGGUGUAGCGGUGAAAUGCGCAGAUAUCAGGAAGAACACCCGUGGCGAAGGCGGCUCUCUGGAACGCAACUGACGCUGAGACGCGAAAGCGUGGGGAGCAAACAGG
rnacentral:rRNA from 1 species